CCUACGUGUGGCAGCAGUGAGGCAUAUUGGUCAAUGGGCGCGAGCCUGAACCAGCCAAGUAGCGUGAAGGAUGACUGCCCUACGGGUUGUAAACUUCUUUUAUAAAGGAAUAAAGUCAGGCACGUGUGCCUUUUUGUAUGUACUUUAUGCAGAAGGAUCGGCUAACUCCGUGCCAGCAGCCGCGGUAAUACGGGGGAUUCGAGCGUUAUCCGGAUUUAUUGGGUUUAAAGGGUGCGUAGGCGGAUCUUUAAGUCAGUGGGAAAAUUGCGGGGCUAAACCCCUUCCCGCCAUUGAAACUGGCGCUCUUGAGUGGAAGAGAGGUAUGCGGAAUGCGUGGUGUAGCGGUGAAAUGCAUAGAUAUCACGCAGAACCCCGAUUGCGAAGGCAGCAUGCCGGCUUCCGACUGACGCUGAAGCACGAAAGCGUGGGGAUCGAACAGGAUUAGAUACCCCUGUAGUC
rnacentral:rRNA from 1 species